AACAAGAAGAAAUAACUCAAAGUAUCCAAAUGUCUGCAACUCUGAGUCAGAACCUAGAGAAGCCGUAGGAUAAAAGGGAGUCACAGGCAUAGAACAAUUGGAAGUCUCAGGGAGGAAAGGACGCUUUGCCUCAGACCCAGACAAUUGGCACUCCCGCCCAUUGUACAAACUAUUGGGACUUCCCCCACUGAUUGCUGUGUGGAUGUUAAACCAGACUGAAAUAUAUUGAGAAGUAACUGAGAAGCAAGGAAUUUGAAGGUAAAUUAUCGAUUCCACUUACAUGAAGCUUACUGAAAAAGGGAGGAAAUAAAUAACAGGUGAAGAAUGAAACUAACGGGAAGACUGCAACCUAAAAUGAAACCUCAAAGAAUAAUUCAUUGAAAAAUGAGGCAGGACGCGGACUAUUUGGCAGAGAAUUUUCACGUCUUGUUAUUUCUAUCCACAAAGUCCUGUGAGAUUUUUCUCCUUAUCAUACAAAAUGUUCAAUGGAGUAACUGUAAACUUAAGGAGAAUUGAGACAUUUCAUAACUCUCCUAUUACUGCAGAAAUGUUAUUUUCCUCUAAAUUGGCUUCAUGGUGUUGUCCAGGGACUGGUUUGAGGUAUCAGAAAAAAGUUUAACUAGAGCUGGUAUCACCUACAGUGUAUAGCUAAGACAGAAUCAUUCACUGUAAAAGUGGUGACAAAUUUAAUGGAAGCCAGGUUGUGGAAGGAGUCAACUGUGCCUUAGCAGAGUAAUGCUAGUGUCAUCAUGUUUUUAGAAACAAUGUCAAGAUUCUCAGUAAAAGGAGAAAUAUGCAUUUUUUUGUAUGUGCGUAAAGCUAGAAUACAUUAUCUCCAGAAAAAUAGGAAGAAAUAAAAUAAAAAUUAUUAAA
rnacentral:lncRNA from 1 species